CCUACGGGAGGCUGCAGUCGAGAAUCAUUCACAAUGGGGGAAACCCUGAUGGUGCGACGCCGCGUGGGGGAAUGAAGGUCUUCGGAUUGUAAACCCCUGUCAUGUGGGAGCAAAUUAAAAAGAUAGUACCACAAGAGGAAGAGACGGCUAACUCUGUGCCAGCAGCCGCGGUAAUACAGAGGUCCCAAGCGUUGUUCGGAAUCACUGGGCGUAAGGCGUGCGUAGGCUGUUUCGUAAGUCGUGUGUGAAAGGCGCGGGCUCAACCCGCGGACGGCACAUGAUACUGCGAGACUAGAGUAAUGGAGGGGGAACCGGAAUUCUCGGUGUAGCAGUGAAAUGCGUAGAUAUCGAGAGGAACACUCGUGGCGAAGGCGGGUUCCUGGACAUUAACUGACGCUGAGGCACGAAGGCCAGGGGAGCGAAAGGGAUUAGAUACCCAGUAGUC
rnacentral:rRNA from 1 species